GGGGCUUGCAACCGUCACUUAUGUCUUGAGCAGUUAAAAGAUAGAAUGGUCAAGUCAAGCGCCAUGUCUCCUGUUCUUUGAUCAACUAUAGGUCUGGAGUUUUUGUAGAUUUUCAAAAUAAAACAUAGAGAUUCCUUGUAUGACUCUCUCAAUUCUCUCUUUUGUGGUAUUUCUGGAUCCUUACCAAGGCAGUGAUGGUAUAUGCCUUCUCUCAAAGUAUGUGGUAUUUGUGGUAUGAGGCAUAGUGACAUUGUCUUCUCUCUCAUCCUACUCUAAUAAGGCUUUGAUAUCUAGAGCUCAUAGGUGGGAGAUAAAGUAUACAUACUUACAAGACAUUUAUUGCAUAGUCAAACCAUAGAUCUAGAGAAACAAGUUAAUAAGUCAAUAUCAAGAUGUGCAUGUGUGGCGAAUGAAUGGUGUAUGGUGAUGAUGGUGAAAACAAUGGUGAAAGUCUAAUUCUACUUUUGCUCUUUUGAGGGGAUACAUACCUUUCUUGCACUUUGAAGCUUUUUUAGGAGAAUGAGAUGCUCUAUAUUUUCUUUUUCUUUUCUCUCAGGUGGGUAUCUUGUACCCCUAAUUCUACUGUCGGACACUUGUCUAUUUUUACCUCUCGUCUCACUUUUUCUUUUCUUCGAGGUUCUGGGCACUUGCCCCUUUUUAUUUCCUCGUAUUCACUUUUUUCAGAGCACUCACCCUCCUGGAAUAAUGUAGCUAGUGGCAGCAACCAAAAUAUCUCGAGCAUUUAUUUCACGGGGAAUAACAGGGAUAGGAUAAUGUUUUUGGCUAUUCUCUCCUGGAUAGGAGUAGAAUGAUUUUGGGUGAAUCUGGAGAUGGAAAUGAGUGGAUGUAUAUGGAUGCAUACUUCCGGAGUAGAAGCAGCAUGUAUGAG
rnacentral:lncRNA from 1 species